rnacentral:rRNA from 1 species
CCUACGGGGAGCAGCAGUGAGGAAUAUUGGUCAAUGGCCGGAAGGCUGAACCAGCCAUGCCGCGUGAAGGUCAGUGCCCUAUGGGCGUUAAACUUCUUUUGUGCGGGAGCAAUAAUGGUCACGUGUGGCCAGACGAGAGUACCGUACGAAUAAGCAUCGGCUCACUCCGUGCCAGCAGCCGCGGUAAUACGGGGGAUGCAAGCGUUAUCCGGAUUUAUUGGGUGUAAAGGGUGCGUAGGCUGUGAGGUAAGUCAGCGGUGAAAUGCCCCCGCUCAACGGGGUGAAGGGCCAUUGAUACUGCCGUGCUGGAAUGCGGAUGCCGUGGGAGGAAUGUGUGGUGUAGCGGUGAAAUGCAUAGAUAUCACACAGAACACCGAUUGCGAAGGCAUCUCACGAAUCCGCGAUUGACGCUGAUGCACGAAAGCGUGGGUAUCAAACAGGAUUAGAUACCCGGGUAGUC